rnacentral:rRNA from 1 species
UGCAAGUCGAGCGGACAGAAGGGAGCUUGCUCCCGGAUGUUAGCGGCGGACGGGUGAGUAACACGUGGGUAACCUGCCUGUAAGACUGGGAUAACUCCGGGAAACCGGAGCUAAUACCGGAUAGUUCCUUGAACCGCAUGGUUCAAGGAUGAAAGACGGUUUCGGCUGUCACUUACAGAUGGACCCGCGGCGCAUUAGCUAGUUGGUGGGGUAAUGGCUCACCAAGGCGACGAUGCGUAGCCGACCUGAGAGGGUGAUCGGCCACACUGGGACUGAGACACGGCCCAGACUCCUACGGGAGGCAGCAGUAGGGAAUCUUCCGCAAUGGACGAAAGUCUGACGGAGCAACGCCGCGUGAGUGAUGAAGGUUUUCGGAUCGUAAAGCUCUGUUGUUAGGGAAGAACAAGUGCGAGAGUAACUGCUCGCACCUUGACGGUACCUAACCAGAAAGCCACGGCUAACUACGUGCCAGCAGCCGCGGUAAUACGUAGGUGGCAAGCGUUGUCCGGAAUUAUUGGGCGUAAAGGGCUCGCAGGCGGUUUCUUAAGUCUGAUGUGAAAGCCCCCGGCUCAACCGGGGAGGGUCAUUGGAAACUGGGAAACUUGAGUGCAGAAGAGGAGAGUGGAAUUCCACGUGUAGCGGUGAAAUGCGUAGAGAUGUGGAGGAACACCAGUGGCGAAGGCGACUCUCUGGUCUGUAACUGACGCUGAGGAGCGAAAGCGUGGGGAGCGAACAGGAUUAGAUACCCUGGUAGUCCACGCCGUAAACGAUGAGUGCUAAGUGUUAGGGGGUUUCCGCCCCUUA